AGGAUAUCAAAAAUAUAUCUUUUUCUUCCCUCAUCACACGUUUUCUCUCCACUCACAUAGAUAGACUCUCUUUCCCUACUACCUAGAGCCCACUCCCAAAAUCACUCUCCAUCAUCUCUCUCUCCACACUCACACGUUACCCUCACUCUCCUCACAUCACUCUCUCAUUAUUAAUAACAGCUAUCAUAUAACCUCUCUCACACUCAUUCACGAUACCACACAAAUCCCACUCACACUCCACCUAUCCCUACCUUUCCUCUCUUCCUCACUCUCAAAGAAAAGAGAAAGUAGAAAAAGAAAAAGAAAAGAGGUGAAGAGCUCCUCUUCAUCCAACCUUCACGCCUCAACCACAUAAACCCUCUUCAUCAUCACACAGAAACCACCGUCGCCUUCCCUUCACCAACAACAACCAUCUUCGAUUCAAACCCCUUCUCUUUUACUCUGGGUAUCUGUUCAAAUUCCAAGAUCCAACGCCGCAUCUAAACCGCCACGGUUUCGACUCUCACCACCAUUGCUUCCUUCGCCGCUCAGCAAACCCAAUUCUUCAAUAGCCAACACACCACAUCGUUCCUCCAAGACGGAAUCAUAUGCCGGUAAGAAACGCGGCAACAAACGCAAAGACGACUUGAAGCAAGCUGGGCGAAUUGUCAAAGCACCAUGGACACAGUGAUCGGGUGAAGGAUCUCAAGUUGCUGCUGAUGAUAUACUUCUGAAAUAAACUCUUGACGACUAUUCACCCUAGUGUGAAUUCUGUUUAAAUAAAAGGAAGUUAUACUAUGGAGUUUUCUUGGCGUCACUACUGUUUGAAUGAUGUUGGGUGUAGUGAUUAAGAUGAUAAUUUGUGGAAGUUAAUCCAACAAAAGUUUUAAGUGUUGGAUUCAUAAAAUAAAAUGCCAGGCAAUAACUAUUGAUCUCCAAGCCUUCAAAUUCAUGUACUUUAGUUGUUAACAAAUCUCAUUUUUAUUAUUAAUUGGAUUUCAAUAUGAAAGAUAGAAUAUGGUGUGUCUAUUGUAAUUGUAUGUUAAAAAUUCAAUUGAGUUAAUAUUUUAUAGUGUGGUAAGACUAAUUUUUUAAAAAGUAUCAUUUAUGUAUUGUUGUUAAUGUGCUAAUAUAUCUUGGAUGCAUGAAAACUGUAUUGGUUUCGAAGGUAAUUAUCUCUUGGGCCAGUUUAUGUGAUCCAAUACUAUA